rnacentral:tRNA from 1 species
GGGCCUGUAGCGCAGCUGGGAGCGCAUCACAAUGGCAUUGUGAGGGUCAAGGGUUCGAGUCCCUUCAGGUCCA